CCAAAUUAAACAAGAUGUGUAACAUUAGUAGGGUAUAGUGAGGGUGGGAGCCUCAGUUGUUAGUGAGAGUCAUGCAACAAACUCUAAGGGAAAAAUUGUGUUUUCUAGGAUGUAAUUUCAGGGGUAAAUGGAAAGAUGAGUGAGGCUGUAUGAUGCAGUGGAAAAGAUUCAAAAUGAGGAAUUCAGAGGACCUGGGUUAUAUUCCCAGCUUUGCUUCAGACCUCCUGUUGAACUUUGAGUCUCAAUUGCCCAUCUGUAACAAAUGGAGAUAAUGAUGUCCAUGAAUGUUAAGACUAAGCUGAACUGUACCAAAAUAUAGAAAAGCAAAACAAAAAAAAUGAUUCAGCUGUAACAUAUUAAGAGAUGCACCUCCCCUGUUCAAGAGUGCAAUGCAAGCCUUUUGGUACUGAGAAAACUACUCUGUGACCUCUGCUGCGAAGGACUUUCCUUGCUCCCUCCAAAGGAUCUAAUUCAUUUCCAAAGCAACGCAACAAAAAGGCCUCUUGCGGAUACACACACACUGAUUCUUUUAAAGUCAGUUCAUUUGUGGCAUGUGCUGACAAACUGAAGAGCUGCAUUUAUGACAUUUCCGAGGAAGAAUUACUGAGCAUAAGGGUGAAGGCUUAAAGGCAUAGGCCAGCUUUGCUCACACAACUCUGUGGAUAAAAUUAAGUCCUAACCUGCAGCCCUCAGUCCUAUUCUUGUGUUGGCCACGUUCCUCUGUGAUUGCUACUCCAUCCUGACCAGCAGCAACUUUUGAUAUGGCAGUAAUACGCCUCUCUUGUUCAGAAACUGACACAUGGGCUUGCAGAUGCCAAAAUUGGCCUUUUGGUUAGCCAAGUUGGGUUGGCUUUGUGACGUGGCAAAUGUUGGCUAGGGACUAGACUGAGAUCGCAGCAUUCAUUUGGUUUGUGUGUUUUUAUAGGUAAAGAAUUAGGACUAACCAUGCAAACCUUACUUCUGUAUGGUAGUUCCCUUGACUCCAGUCAGACUACUUUCAAAUCGCAAUGUAAAAAAAGAAGUCUAUUUCCACAUUUUUAUAUGAAGAUUAGCCUUCACCUUUUCCAUCAGGCUGGGAAUGCUUAAGACUGAAGGGAUGGCUUUUUGCCCAGACAGAGGAACUGAAAUAAAUAUGAACAGACCUAAUAACUCCUCACAUGAAUAUAGGCUGUCGAAUCAGGUCCCUAGCCUGUAACGUCCUUUGGGACAAAAAGUGCCAAAUAAAUGUGUGCACGAGAGAGAAAGAGAAGGUAAGUGAGGUAAUAUUUUUUAUUGGACAAACUUCUGAUAAAGUAAAAUUCCAAUAAAAGAUCUUUUCUCUCUCUCUCUCUUUCAUAUCCUGGGACCAACUUGGCUGCAACACUGGAAAUAAAUAUAUGAUUGAACCAAUAAUGAUGUUAUGCACAAGCACUUGGACACAGGAAUUGUCAGAGUAGUUCAGACCAGUAUCUUGUCACCAACAUGAGUCAGUACCAGAUGUGCCAGUGGAAGGUGCAAGAAAUCCUGCAAGUUCCCUGCUCCCAGGGAAAGUUUCUACCUAAUGCCCAGUUCUUAAAGUUUGGCUUUAUAUGCCUCCCAAACUUGUUUGUUUUUAAAUAUUUACUACCCUCUUUGAAUCUUGCUUAGCUCUUGGCCUCCGUGAUAUCUUGUGGCAUGGAGUUCCACAGGGUAAUUGUGCCUUGCGUGAAAAAGCAUUUCUCUUUGGUCAGUUUUGAAUUUACUAAUCUUCCCAAUUUGUGUUUUAAAUACAAGAUUUUAUCAAUAUU